CCUACGGGGGGCAGCAGUGGGGGAUAUUGCACAAUGGGCGCAAGCCUGAUGCAGCCAUGCCGCGUGUGUGAAGAAGGCCUUCGGGUUGUAAAGCACUUUCAGCGGGGAGGAGGGCGGUGAGGUUAAUAACCUCAUCGAUUGACGUUACCCGCAGAAGAAGCACCGGCUAACUCCGUGCCAGCAGCCGCGGUAAUACGGAGGGUGCAAGCGUUAAUCGGAAUUACUGGGCGUAAAGCGCACGCAGGCGGUCUGUCAAGUCGGAUGUGAAAUCCCCGGGCUCAACCUGGGAGCUGCAUUCGAAACUGGCAGGCUAGAGUCUUGUAGAGGGGGGUAGAAUUCCAGGUGUAGCGGUGAAAUGCGUAGAGAUCUGGAGGAAUACCGGUGGCGAAGGCGGCCCCCUGGACAAAGACUGACGCUCAGGUGCGAAAGCGUGGGGAGCAAACAGGAUUAGAUACCCCUGUAGUC
rnacentral:rRNA from 1 species